rnacentral:tRNA from 1 species
GCCUGGGUGGCUCAGUCGGUUAAGCGUCUGACUUCAGCUCAGGUCAUGAUCUCAUGCCCUUGUGGGUUCAUGCCCCGCGUCGGGCU